rnacentral:snRNA from 1 species
GUGCUAGAUUCCACAGCACAUUUACUGAAUUGAAAUGGUAAAGAGAAGAUAAACACGGCCUCUGUGCAAGGUAGUCAAGCAAAUCUGUGAAGCAUUUUAUAUGUUU